GAUGAGAACGUAGCGAAAUGCGAUAAGUAAUGCGAAUUGCAGAAUUCCGUGAGUCAUCGAAUCUUUGAACGCACAUUGCGCCCUCUGGUAUUCCGGAGGGCAUGCCUGUCUGAGCGUCAUUGUCAACCCUCAAGCUCAGCUUGCUGUUGGGUCCCCGUCGUUGCUUUAACGGCGGACCCGAAAGGUAAUGGCAGAGUCCGUGAGACCCUAGACGCAGCGAGCUUCUAGCACGCGUCUGGACGUUUUUCGGGCUCGGUCUUAACUAGAUGAUAACUUCCGAUUGACCUCAGAUCAGGUAGGGAUACCCGCUGAACUUAAGCAUAUCAAUAAGCGGAGGA
rnacentral:misc_RNA from 1 species